rnacentral:rRNA from 1 species
UGAAAAGCACCCCGACGAGGGGAGUGAAACAGUUUCUGAAACCGGACGCCUACAAACAGUUGGAGCCCCUUAUGGGGUGACAGCGUACCUUUUGUAUAAUGGGUCAACGACUUGGUCUUACUAGCAAGCUUAAGCCGAUAGGUGUAGGCGCAGCGAAAGCGAGUCUUAAUAGGGCGAAUGAGUUAGUAGGAUCAGACCCGAAACCGAGUGAUCUAGGCAUGAGCAGGUUGAAGGUAAGGUAACACUUACUGGAGGACCGAACCCACAUCUGUUGAAAAAGAUCGGGAUGACUUGUGCCUAGGGGUGAAAGGCCAAUCAAACUCGGAGAUAGCUGGUUCUCCGCGAAAUCUAUUUAGGUAGAGCGUCGCACGAAUACCUUGGGGGGUAGAGCACUGAAUGGGUAAUGGGGACUCACCGUCUUACUGAUCCUAAUCAAACUCCGAAUACCCAAGAGUAAUAUGCGGCAGACACACUGCGGAUGCUAACGUCCGUAGUGGAGAGGGAAACAACCCUGACCCUCAGCUAAGGCCCCUAAUUCAUGGCUAAGUGGGAAAGCAGGUGGGACGACCAAAACAACCAGGAAGUUGGCUUAGAAGCAGCCAUCUUUUAAAGAUAGCGUAACAGCUCACUGGUCUAAUUUAAGUUAUCCUGCGGCGAAGAUGUACCGGGGCUCAAGCCAUGAGCCGAAGCUAGGGAUGCAAUUUAUUGCAUGGUAGCGGAGCGUUCUGUGAUAUAGAACGCUGCGUCUUUAGUAUCUUAGGAUAUUGUGGACGCAAUGUUCUGACUGUGAAGCCGGCGCGUAAGCGAUCCGGUGGAGUGAUCAGAAGUGAGAAUGUUGACAUGAGUAGCGACAAACAGGGUGAGAGACCCUGUCGCCGAAAGUCCAAGGGUUCCUGCUUAAAGCUAAUCUGAGCAGGGUAAGCCGACCCCUAAGGCGAGGCCGAAAGGCGUAGUCGAUGGGAACCAGUUUAAUAUUACUGGGCCAGGAGAUGGUGACGGAUCGAAAGCGUAGUGACUCCUUAUCGGAUUGAAGUUGCUGCCGGACGGUUCCUGGAAAUAGCCCUCCAUUAGAUCGUACCCUAAACCAACACAGGUGGACUGGUAGAGAAUACCAAGGCGCUUGAGAGAACUACAUUGAAGGAACUCGGCAAAAUACCUCCGUAAGUUCGCGAGAAGGAGGCCCAGUUUCUACGCAAGUAUUGGCUGGGGGCACAAACCAGGGGGUGGCGACUGUUUACUAAAAACACAGGGCUCUGCGAAGUCGCAAGACGACGUAUAGGGUCUGACGCCUGCCCGGUGCUGGAAGGUUAAGAGGAGGUGUGCAAGCACUGAAUUGAAGCCCCAGUAAACGGCGGCCGUAACUAUAACGGUCCUAAGGUAGCGAAAUUCCUUGUCGGGUAAG